UACGUGGGGUGCAAGCGUUGUCCGGAAUUAUUGGGCGUAAAGAGCUCGUAGGCGGUCUGUUGCGUCGGCUGUGAAAACCCGGGGCUCAACUCCGGGCCUGCAGCCGAUACGGGCAGACUAGAGUUCGGCAGGGGAGACUGGAAUUCCUGGUGUAGCGGUGAAAUGCGCAGAUAUCAGGAGGAACACCGGUGGCGAAGGCGGGUCUCUGGGCCGAUACUGACGCUGAGGAGCGAAAGCGUGGGGAGCGAACAGG
rnacentral:rRNA from 1 species